GAGGGGCUGUGGAGGACAAAGGUGGUGCGGGCGCUUGUGUGUGCUGCGCGGCGGCCUAGGAGAGCCCGUUGCUCAAAAGAUACGUGUUUUUUCCUACCUUUAUUUAACCAGAGCAUAAAGGGUUAUUACUACUGUUGCAGUUUUGUUGGGUUUGGGUUUUUUUCCUCUCCCAAGUCGCAACUCCAAAGAAUCCGUAUGGCUCUUCUGGGCUGAAACACAAGCUGUAUAUUGCUGCGUUGGAAGUAGGCCUUAUGCCCCCUCCCCCCCCAUAAAUACCUGGUUAAUGCACAAGGAACUGUCCCUAUUCCUUCCGAGAACGGUAGAAUCAUUAAGAUUUUUUUCCCCUUCUCAAAGAGACCAGGAAGGGUAGAAUGAUCCAUUUUAAAGAAGUUCUCACCCCACAGGCAGCUUUUGGGGUCCUGUGUAGCUAAGCAUGUUCAGAAUUGUUUGGAAAAUACAUCUAGGUCUGACGGCAUUUAUAAACAGCAUAAGAUGGUUCACCUGAUGUUGCUUAGGGGCAGAGGAGUUAGACAAGACCAGAGAUCUCUCCUAAUCUAUAUUAUUCCUCGUUUCAAAUAAAAAUAAAGGAGUAGGUAUGCUCAGUGCUGGUAAGAACAAAAUACAAAGGAGGAAAUCCUACUAUAACAUUGCUGCAACAAGUAGGCAAGAACUUCCAAGAGUCAUUGUGGUAAUUCUGUAAAAGAAGAGAUCAGUCAUGACAGACUGGGACUUUGUUUCUAACAAAAAAAACUGGCAACAAAAUAUGCGUUGUGCCUUUAGUCUGCUAUGAUAGUAAGAGCUGUAGUUUCUGGGGUGCAAACCUUCUUGAUUCAUUUCUUGCAUCUAGCUACCUAAUGAAGACUGCCCAAAAGAUCAGUCUUUCUGGCGAGGCAGUGGUGCCUGUUUUUAUCAUUAAGGAAGCGUCUCCAGGCAGGACAUCUUCUUGUACAUGUUCUUUUGAAAGGGCCCCCGCCUGAGAUACAAGUAUUUGAUCCUCUCCCUAUUCCUAGGAAGCUGAUUUAAACUUGCCAGCAGAAGCAGACACAUGGGUUGAUUCCAAGCACUUACGCUUACCUUGUUACAGAAAAGGGCUGUCUGCUCUCCCAGGCCCUGCCACAGAAGACCAAAAUCAUUAUGCCGUUGUAUGAGUCGAUGGUGUCCUUGUAUGCUUAACACUGUGUGCUCUUCACACAUCAAAAGGGUAUAAUAGACCUAAAGGAGGCAAAGGCAGCGUGGCAGGAUAAAGAGCUUGGACAGUCUUUAGUGAGGUAGAGAAUGGCUUCCAUCUGUGUAAGAGUAACUAAGUAGUCCUGAAAGAGGAUAUAGGGGGAGGGCAAAAUGCAGAAGAGUUUGUGACUCUUUGUAACUCUGAAGUUACAAACAGUAAGGGGAAGAUAUGAGGAGAAAUGCAUAGUAUUCUCUAAUCAGAAAGCAAAUUAAGAACAAAAGGAAACACUUUUCCAUGAAUAAUGAAACUCGUUGCCUCAGGAUGCUAGGGAGACAAAGUAUAAUUGGGUUCAGAAAGGAUUUAUUCAAAUGUAUGGAAAAGAGGUUCAUUACUGUUGCUUGGAUUCUGCCUCUGGCUCCUCAGGAAAUCCCGUAACAGCUGAUUGGUUUCUAGAGGUCACAGAAUAAAAGAGGAUUCUACAGAAGUACUUUUUCCUUAAGCUCCUUUCUAAACACCUAAGCUAGCUACUUCAGAAUCAUUUUGCCUUUCAAAAAGCUGCUUUUUCUUCAAAAGCAGAAACAAAAAAAUCCUAAGGCUAGUGGUAAAACAUAGUAUUAUGUAGUGUAACUUGGUAUUAUUAGUGUAAAUACAGUAGUAUCAAAUCAUGCUCCAUAGUGUUUGCAAUGUGGAUGUCCAACACAGAUACUUAGGACUGAGUGAGACCUUGAGGCGAAAUGACUUUAGGGCAAGAAUAGUGCUUGCAAGAACGAUAUAAUUACAACUACUACAAUACAUUAUGGCCUUUAGAUACGUAAAUCGCGUAUUUCAUCAACUGAAUAGGAGUUAUCGUAACUCUAGUAUUGAAAUGCUAGAUUACAUGCAUAAUUUUUGUACUAGUUCAGAAAUCAUUAAGAAUUAACUUGCAUUUGCAGAAGUGGUGUCUAGUUUAGUUCAUGUAUUUAUUUUUGGUGAAUAAAAAAUUAACUAAUCACUAAUUCUGUAAUCCGUUAUUACAAAAUGCUAGUAAGGGCCCUGGUGUUGACAAGAAUAGUAAUUAUUCUCUGCUAUGUUGGACCUGAAAUUCAUAGUUUAUUUGCAGUUUGUGUAUUAUUUUUGAAGAUGGCCAAGGUUUGUGCAAUUUUUGGAGGAUCCCGAGGAAUAGGAAAAGCUGUUGCGGAAUUACUGGCACAGAGAGGCUGCCGCCUGGCGAUUAUUGCUAGAAAUCUGGAAGUAGCCCAAACCACUGCACGUAAUCUUGGUGCAGGACAUCUGGCACUUAGCUGUGACGUAUCCAGUGAACAAGAAGUCCAAAAUACUUUUGAGGAGAUACAAAGGAAUUUAGGUCCUGUUAACUACUUGGUUAAUGCAGCUGGGAUCAACAGGGAUGGUUUGUUACUGAGAACCAAGACUGAAGACAUGAUAGCCCAGAUUCACACUAACCUUUUGGGAACAAUGUUGACAUGCAAAGCUGCUGUAAAAAGUAUGAUUCAACAACAAGGAGGUGCUAUUGUCAAUAUAGGAAGUAUUGUAGGACUUAAAGGCAACUCUGGUCAAAGCGUAUACAGUGCUACCAAAGCAGGAUUAGUUGGAUUUUCACGCUCGCUUGCUAAAGAAGUAGCAAAAAAGCAAAUUCGAGUCAACGUGGUUGCUCCAGGCUUCAUUCACACAGAGAUGACUGCUCAUUUGGAAGAAGAUCAACUGAAGAAAGCAAUUCUCCUUGGAAGAUUUGGAGAGCCUCGUGAAGUUGCGCAAGCUGUUCUCUUUCUUCUAGAGUCCCCUUAUGUUACAGGGAGUACUCUAGUUGUAGAUGGAGGCUUGCAGCUUCUGACUUAAGUACUUAAAUACUACCUUGAAUAAGUACCUACAUAAUGUCAUUAUGAUAAUAUAUAAAUAUAUGGUAAUUAAAGGGAGAGGGGUGGAAGUGAGUUGAAGGUCAAUGUCUGUAAUUGAUAUUAUUUAGUCAGAAGAGAAAUUCAGCAGCAGUAAGGUCCGGCGUGGAUGUUUAGCUACCUGAAGGAGUCCAUUUGGACAUGAAGUCUGCAUAUGUAAAAAUUUGAAAAUUAUCUGGUUUUGGUAUGGUGAUAGUUUUAAAUAACGUGCUGAUACAUUUUAAAAGCACUAUAUUUUUAUAAAGCCAUGUUUUCCAUUUUGGGAUAGAGUGGAGAUUUUAUCUGAAUUAUCAUGUUACACAAAGGUUAAUAAAGUACAGAGGCACCUUUAUUGCUUGGCAGGUGUGAUUGCAUCAAGUUUUUCAUUUAGGGCAAAGAUUGCAAACUGCAUAAUUUUUUAUUUUUAUCAGUUAGUCCCUACAAAGUGGCAAGGAGUUCCCUUCUGGUUUUUGUUUGUUUGUAGCUAACACUACAAAGCUAGGAACUUCUAGAUCUUUGGCAUACCUGGAUUGCCUUUAGGAGAUUUAAUUAUAUGCAGUGUGUUUUUAUAAAGACAAAACCUGCUCAGUUCCAUUCUUGAAUGUAUGCACGGCACUCACUUAAUCCAGUAGCGCUUGUGUGUAUACAUUGAAGGACUGUUGAGUGGUCACUGGCAUUGCUAAUUCUAUAAUAUUCUGAGUUUGAGCUGCACAUACACUGGUGAACAGUGCAGUUGCAAACCUUGCUGCAUAAAAGACUUUUCACUGGCUCCGUAGGUGUUCAGAAAACACUGUCACUUCCAAAGUGUGAAGUCAAGGUGCUUUGCUCUAUAUCUUCUUGAAUGCUCAGUUCAACUGGCAAGAUGUAUGUAUAGUCAAUAAAACAGCCAUUUAGUUUAUGCAAAGUAGCUUUUGAAGCAGAGUAAUUAUUCAGCUGUAAGUGAUCCUGAGUGUUCCUAUCUUGCUGAAAAAUUACCAAAAAUUUAACCUCAGGCUUUUCUACUGACAUCAAGUAAUUUUUGGUAAUUGAUGUUUUUAUCAUCUCUGAAGAAAACGAUGGAUGUGGUUUAGGACCUUCACUUCUUAGCUCCAGUGUUCAUUGCAUCAUGAUCCAGAUGUUGACUCUGCUUUUGAAAUUACUUCCUGUCUUUGCAUAAACCAAAGUACAGAAAGAAAAGAUCUCACUGAUGAUAACUUUGAGUCUUUAAAGUCUGAGAUUUUCUUCAUUUGUGCAGCUGACAAAUCUUGUCUCUGUGCCAGAAAACAUUGCACGUUCAAGCUUCUCACAGGUAUGUAUUGAGAAAUAAUCCAAGGAUUGAUUGUAUGUUCAGGGGAUUUUACAGUUGGUUGUGUUACUCACUUUGGAGUGUAAAAUACCACUUUGCAGAGAGGUGGCAUUAUUUGCUGUGAAAAGUUGUGUGUCAUAUGUGUCUUUGCACCAAAAAUAUAAUUGCUAAUUGUGUUUCUCUUUGAUAGGAGGAAUUGGCCAGAGAAUAGAUGAAUUUUUUCUGAGGGCACUGAAGGUGAGGAAGGACAGCUGGUACUCCAUUUUUACUAGUCAAGUAGUAAAAUGUCAGUAACUUGGCUGCUGCCUGUAUUUGUCCUUAGUAUUUUACAGGCAAAGCCUGCGUGACAUACCUUGACCAGAAGCCAAACUCAAGAGACUAAAAAUAAUUUCCUCUUACUGAAUUCUGUCCCUAAUUAUUAUUAUCCCUUGUUUUGUUGGGUAAGGGCACUGUUAAGUAAGUUACUAGCAAUGCCAUUUUUAGUUUAUAUUUGUGAUUAAAACCUGGAAUAACACCCUCAGAAGAAUCUCGGCAUGCUGCUAAGUAAUUUUUUAAAAAAUGUUGCAGUACAUACUAUGUUUUUAUUACUGCUGUUGCUAUAGGACCAGACUGAAGUGUGGGUAGCCUUAGAAUCAUGUUUUUAAAAGACCUUUUUUUCCCCUUUUCUUCAAACUGGUAAAUUAGAACUGAAAACUAGUUAUAAACAGUAAUAAUCCACUUCAGCAUUUACUGUCUACAUCUGUUCUAAGAAGUGGUAUCUGUCUGUCAGACCAGGGUUCUGUCUGGCCUGGUGUGAUGUCUCAGACAGUGGAAGGUGUGAAUGCGUAGGCUGGGUAACAGACCAAGUGUGUGGGGAUGUCUCCUUGACAGACUCUUGUACCUCCAGCCAUUUGGGGUGGAUAUGUUUGAAUCUGCCAUUUGAUAGCUCUGGUUGAGGCCUGCAGGUUCUUCCAUCUGAUGGGAUGUUAUAACAACCCUCUUGUGCGCUUGCUCUGUCGCUCUUGGGAUUUGUAGGCCUCUGUCAUAUCCUGCCUGCCCCAGUUGUUUCUGUUUCAAACUGAAGAGUCGUAUUUCUUUUAGUUGCUUGUUGCUGGGAAGCUCUUUUGUACCUUAUGUCAUGUUUGUGAUCCUUUACUUUUCCAGCUUUUCAAGGAGGGAGGAGUGGGUGGAACCGCUCACAGUAUUCAUUAUGGAUUUAUCUAAUAAAAGAUUAGGAUGUUUUGUUUUGUUUUAUAUUGCUUCCCAAAAUAAUGCCUAAUUGUUUUGCCUUUUCCUAACCUUUACACUUAGGUUUUCAUAAGCUAUGUAAGAACAGUAACUCAGUCCUAAAUAAUAGUCAACUUGGAGUCUGUUUCUUUAUGUAUGUAUUUAGGACUAAUUUUUUGUAUUUUCCCCAGUGUGAAUUGUUCUCAUUUAUCUACAGUGAGUUUAGCCUGCUCGUUUUUAAGACCUGUUUCCUCAGUGAAAUGGUUCUGCAAUUUUUUAAUUCCUUUAUCCCUUUAUUACUUUGAGUAACUUAGUGCUACUGGAAUAUACUGUGGCCUUCAGAAAUUGCUGUCUCUGAACUCUUAUGAAUAGGUUGUACUUUGCUAGCCCCAGCAUAGGUGCCUGUGGCGUUCUGUUGGUGAUCCCUGUCCUUAGGAAAGAAUGACUGCUGAUCGUAACCUUUCUCUUCUGUCUUUCAGCAAUUUACUGAAUGACAACUUCUUCUCUUGGCAGCACAGCAUCUUUAAUGAUUUUUGGCAAGGGAAUGUGUCAGAUGCUGUUUAGAACUUCAAGCAUGCUGUAUUAGAUCUCCUUACUCUCAUCUCUUUACUCUCAUAUCUUUUUAGUCUUUAGAAGAACUCUCAAAUGUUUAUCAAACUUGACUUCCCUUUGCAAAAGCAGCACUGACUUUCCUCAGGAUGUUUAUUCAGUUGUUUUCAUGGCUUUAGAACAAUUUCUGGCAGUUGGCAAUGUACAGAAAAAGAUCAUUAAUCUGUAGUUCCCUGGAUCCCUCUGGAAUGUCUUCUUAAAAAACAAGUGAUGCUUCCACCCACAAAACUCCCCAAAGCUUGCUGUCACUUUUGUCAGCUUCCAGUCAUUUGACAACGAGGCGGUUUUAAUCCAGAAGGUGCAUGCUGCAGUUACUUGAUUUCCUUUAGAAUUUGGGAGGGAUAGCCCCCAGCCACAGCCACUUGUCACCCUUUCCUCUGUAACCUCUUCUGAUGCUUUGCUCCAAGGGGUAAAAUCUUCAGUGAGUUGCUAGUAGAGGUUCUGCUCAAGUUCCUGCAUGGUACCAAAACCUGAUGUAGGGCUUUGUUCAGAGUUUGGGGUUUGUUUUGGUUUUUUUUUUUUCCUCUGUGGCCUUGCCUUCCCAGAGCACUUUGCUUUUUAUUUUGAUCAUCUGCUUGGCUGAUGGUACUCAGGCACAGUACCUGUUCCUAAGAUGGUGUUCAGUUUGUAUGCACUUUUGCAAAUUGCUCCUCUACACUCUGAUCUGCCUGUAAUUUGCAUUCAGUGACAGAUUCCAUUUGACUGCUACAGCCAGACUGCUGGUUUGACAAAGGUUGGCUUUUAAAUUCUAGUAGCUUUUAAACCAUGCCAGCUUCCCCCUCCUUACAAAAAAAAAAAGUUUUAAUUUGGCAUGUGUAUUUCCAGUUGUCAUACUGAAGUUCAGUGCAUACAGUCUUAGUGUUGUCUUCUAGCAUUAAUUUUUUUGACUUGUCUUUUUGGUUUCAUUUUAGCAUAUUCCCUUAUUUUAUGUUGUUCCUUUUUUAUAGAAGUCUGCAGUAGUGAACUGUUGUCUUUAUUAAUAAACUUGGUUAGUAUUCUUGCAGAAAUAAAAGUUACCAUCACAAAGUCAGUCUUUAAAAAUAGCAUUUUGACUCGGGUCUUGUAUGUUCCCAGGGACUGCAGCCAGACAGGGGUGUCCCUCACUGGCUGCAUGAAAAAAAUAAUAUUAAAUAAGUGAUCUUGGCCUCUUUGGUGUGACGUUUACCCAACCUGCUGGUAAUUACUGUCUUUCAUUACAGUUACAUUACUGGCUCUUACAGUCAUUGGAUGUCAUAAUUGCUGCCAUCAUCUUAAUUGCAUGGAUAAUAAUACUGUCUAAAACCAGUGUUUACCUUAUUGGGCCUGGAGAUUCAAUCCGUGUGGAGUUUGAUUUGAUCAAUAUAUUGAUAUUUAGUUUGAUAUCAUGGUAUUGAUAUUUAGUAAUCAAAUGCAUACAAAAUAAUUGAUAUUUCAUAUCAAUAUCUUGCGUAUUUGUUUUGCUUCCAUCAUAUUUCUGCCAUGCUUGUUAUGUCACUGUCCUUGAUUAAAAACAAGACUUUUGGGAUUUACACCUUGUGCUGGUAGCAUUUAUGCUGAGCUAUAUAUAAAUGUUUGGGGGUUUUUUGCACGUGGGUGUUCAUUCUCGAGUAGGACUGUGUGCUUGACUGACUGACCAUGAUUUCUCAGCUGAGUUUUGAAAACUUCAGUCCGCUCUCUUAUUAGACCUGCAAAGUUUCUGUGGUACCGUUCCUAGUGGGAGAGCGUGUGCUCUUACCCAUCUGAUGUUUCUUCACCUGCUGUAUUGCUGAAAACGCUCCUAUGAUCUUUUGUUAAGUACCAACAUCUUCCUAGUUCUUUUUGGUUUAGAAUGAACUAUUUUACAAAUUCCCACUCCUCCGUGUUUCUGCAGUUCCUAAGGAAUCUGUACUCCUCUUCCUACAGCUGUUUUUUCAGGCAUGCGUUGAAACUUUGCCUCAUCAUCUAGCUUUGGGAACAUUUUAAAGACGGCUGCUAUCCAGGUCUGGUCUUUAACUUACAUCUACGUUUUAUUUCAGAUCUCUUCUCCUGCCCCACCCCGUGUGACUGAUAUUUAUACCUUAUUCUCUUUAUGUAUAGAGAAACUAUCAAGGCAUGUUUUGAUGGUGGCUGCUUUUGCAGCUGUCAUUUAAUUCAGCAUGCAGCCCUCCUGUACAGCAAUCCCCCCUUCUGACUCAUCCAUAGCUAUUGCUUUGCGUUUUUUUUAACUCAGCUGGGCUCCUGCUUCAGAAAGGAUAUCCUUGCUAAAAGAAGAUCGUGUAUUGCAGUAUUUACUCCUUUAUGUGCCCUACCUUGUCACUGCCAAGUUUGCAAACCUAAAACUGUUCUUCUGUUGACUUCAAACUUGAUUCAGUUUAAACUUUAUAGAUAGUGUGAUUUGCACAUUCUGGGCUUUAGUUAAUCCCUGGAGCACAUUGUAGGCCUGGGAAGUUAAACGUUUUGUAUUUCUUCACUUUUCCAGUGUUUGGGAAGAUGCUGGACUACUUUUGCUUCUCUUUUCUCCUAGAUAGGUCAUUGAAGCCUUACUUUUGCUUAUCUCUUAAGACAUGUGUUUGUAACUUAGAGCUUGCUGUAGUGAACUCACUGUGUUUGUCUUUUCCUGCUUUUGAGGCUUAUAUUGCAAUUGAUUACCACCAGUAGAAGUUUCUAGCGGGACACAUAAAUGUUGGUGAGGUGGGUUCAUUUUGUUUUGGUUUUGUUUAAACGUUGCAGCCGUAAGCAGGAGCUGUUGCAAGGAAUAACUUUUGCAGACUUUCUUUUAUGGUAACAGAAGGAUGUAAAGUGUGCUGAGUUAGUGCACGCCGAGUGUGUUAGCGUGUGGUAACCCAUGAAGAGAUUCCAUUUUGGCCUCCUGAGGGCAGUCUAUCCUAAGGCAUUACUCUAACGGUAAUGAUUUGGUUAGUGUAUCUAGUUUUAGGGAAGUGGAGUUGCCUGCGUAAAUACAAAGUUGUAGCUGGCAUUGCUGUCACCAGUUUUGUGAAAUCCAAAUCCACAUAUCCUGAGCUGUUUGGGGAUUCAAGGCAUGAUUUUUAAAGAUGGAUUUCAAUAUUGAGUUCAGUGAAAUCUGGAUAGAAAGUGGAUGUCUAAAUCCCAGUCUUCAAAGUCUCUUUGUGACAUGAUUAUCUGCAGUUGAAACAUACACUGAUUAAUGAUUAUCUAUUGCUGUUAGACAAAUUUUCCUCCUUCAGUGUAUUGCAUAGUGUGAGAGGUUGUAUUGCAUGAAACUGAAAUGUGUAUUGCCUGUUGCAAUUAUGUGACUUCUUUUUCUUUUUGAAGCAUAGUGUAGCUCAUUUGAGUAAAGCCAGUGAAAACUGAGCUUUUCAAGACCAGCUGCAUCCUCUUAAUUUGGGUCAUCAGUGAGUGUUUAAAAAGAGAGGGCAAUGAGAAGUAUUUAAAGAGCAUUGGCUGUGCUUAUUGCCUGAAGCAGUAAGAACUCUGCCGAAGCCCCAGUUUACAUUUUAUUACAUUUUAUUUUCACCCACACAUUAUGUUCAAUUUCAGACCAUAUGCUGAAGGCUCCUUUUUGCUUUAGAUUUGCCUACUGAGUUAGUAACAAAUACUACCUGUAGGUUGCCAGACAGUCAGCAUGACUAUGAGCACAGCUGUUCUGGUAUUGUAUGCUUUUAUUUUUCGUACUAACAGCUCACAUUAGUUAAAAUCUGGGAUAAUUUUUGUUCCUUUCAUAUAACAAAAUACAACAUUGAAACCUACAAUCGUGAUUUUUUCACUCUUUAAAUACAUGAGAUCCAGUUUUUCUAUUUUUUCCUCCUUUUUUCCCUUUGUGUACUUUGCCAUUAUAGUCUCAUAUUCUGAAGUAAAAAUGAAUCCUUCUGGCAUAGUUGUUAACACUAAAAUUGCUUUGACCACUUGGAGAUCUGAUAACAAAAUGCCAGUUUGGGUGUGAUGGUGUCAAACAUGCUGAGACAACACACAAGGAAAAGCCACCUUGUGGGUGUGGGGGGCGGGUGUCGCUGGGCUAGCACCACCUGAGCAAAUGGAGCUGUGUGGAUGUUUCCCAGACUGCUGGCUGGCGCGGCUGAGGUGGCCUGGCAUGCCCAGCACGUGGACAGGUUUGAAAUUCCUGCAUUAUUUUGAACUAUUUGUUCAGGAAUACCUGCAAGCUGAUGCUAUGGUAUUGCUGAAGCAUGUCGAGUGAAGCAGUUUGAUGUUACGGGAAUUCUAAUUUGCAGAUCUCCCAGCUCUGCACUUUUAAUGUUAAAUGCACCAAAAGUGCAUGCUGCAGGGGUAUGUUGGAGGCUGUCUUGUAAACAUCUCCACCCGUACGGUUGAAGACCUGUUAAAAGCUCCAGGUUACAGUGUUUUACUUCCUGCUGCUGUGGGUCUCACUUUUUAUCCCGUUUUUUUCAGGUAGUUGGUAGAUUUCUGCUGAAAAUGUCCUGCAACCUUAGAGAAAAGAAAUGAGAGAGUCAUUGCAUGUGUUUUGUGUGGAUGCCAUUUAGUGUGCAUAUGUGAUUUUUGAUGGUGAGACAGCUCUGCCAGCAGUAGGCUGGAACUGUAUUCAUUCUCUGAGGGUUCUUGUAGCUCUUUUGUUGGAAGGCAUAUAAAAUGGAGAGCACCUGUAGUUUUAUAGUUCACCAUAAUUUUCAGGGCACCAGGGUGGAGGUCGUGCUAAGCUUUCUGCUGUGCAGCUGUAUCCAGCUGAUCUGUAAAUACUAGAUUAGCGAGGUUAAUUUCCUACACGGUUUUGCAAUGCUGUUUACCGAGUUUUCUGUAAAAUCUUUGUUUCCGUUAGCACCGCAAUGCCUUUCUUCCUAAUGCUGUUUUAACCGGCUUUCAGUGAUGCUUAUCAUGUGCCUGUAUCAUUGCUUAAUCAAAGCAGUGUCUUUCCAUUUGGGGGAGAUGGAUUAUUUACAUGUGAGCUGUUUCCGGACCACUUAUGCUACUACAGAACUAGAACAUAACAGCAGCUGCAAGACUUGGCCCUUCCCCAGGGUUUACCUGUUGCACUGCAGCUGUUGGAUAAAGCAAGAAAUGUCUCCUUCCUGGUGCCGUUGGGCAGAAGGUCAUUCAUCUUCCUCCUCUGCAGAGCUGCUGAAGUCAUUGCUGUGCAGUAUUGCACUUGUUCAUCGCAGCUAUCAGAACGCAUUGCCGUGUUGGAACUACAGAUAACCAUACAUUCUGAUUUUCUUUGUCAUCU